GUCUACAGCCAUGCCACCCUGAAUAAGCCUGAUGUCUGAUCUCGGAAGCUAAGUAGGGUCGGGCCUGAUUAGUACUUGGAUGGGAGUCCACCUAGGAAGACCAGGUGCUGUAGGCA
rnacentral:rRNA from 1 species